GUCGGGAUGGCCGAGUGGUCUAAGGCGUCGGACUCAAGUUCCGAUCCUCCUACGAGGGCGUGGGUUCAAAUCCCACUUCGACA
rnacentral:tRNA from 1 species